rnacentral:rRNA from 1 species
GACGAACGCUGGCGGCGUGCCUAAUACAUGCAAGUCGAGCGGAACUGGGGGAGCUUGCUCCUUCCAGUUUAGCGGCGGACGGGUGAGUAACACGUGGGCAACCUGCCCUGCAGAGCGGGAUAACGCCGGGAAACCGGUGCUAAUACCGAAUAGUUUGAGGCCUCUCCUGAGGCUUCACGGAAAGACGGUCUCGGCUGUCACUGCAGGACGGGCCCGGGGCGCAUUAGCUAGGUGGUGGGGUAACGGCCCACCAAGGCCACGAUGAGUAGCCGACCUGAGAGGGUGACCGGCCCCACUGGGACUGAGACACGGCCCAGACUCCUACGGGAGGCAGCAGUAGGGAAUCUUCCGUAAUGGACGCAAGUCUGACGGAGCAACGCCGCGUGAGUGACGAAGGUUUUCGGAUCGUAAAACUCUGUUGUGAGGGAAGAACACGUACCAACUAACUAUUGGUACCUUGACGGUACCUCACCAGAAAGCCACGGCUAACUACGGGCCAGCCGCCGCCGUAA